rnacentral:rRNA from 1 species
AGCGAACGCUGGCGGCAGGCUUAACACAUGCAAGUCGAGCGGGCGUAGCAAUACGUCAGCGGCAGACGGGUGAGUAACGCGUGGGAACGUACCUUUUGGUUCGGAACAACCCAGGGAAACUUGGGCUAAUACCGGAUAAGCCCUUACGGGGAAAGGAUUUAUCGCCGAAGAUCGGCCCGCGUCUGAUUAGCUAGUUGGUGAGGUAACGGCCUACCAAGGCAACGAUCCGUAGCUGGUCUGAGAGGAUGAUCAGCCACACUGGGA